UACGUAGGGUGCGAGCGUUAAUCGGAAUUACUGGGCGUAAAGCGUGCGCAGGCGGUUUUGUAAGCCAGAUGUGAAAUCCCCGGGCUCAACCUGGGAAUGGCAUUUGGGACUGCAAGGCUUGAGUGCGGCAGAGGAGACUGGAAUUCCUGGUGUAGCAGUGAAAUGCGUAGAUAUCGGAAGGAACAUCAGUGGCGAAAGCGGCUUCCUGGUCCAGCACCGACGUUCAGGCACGAAAGCGUGGGGAGCAAACAGG
rnacentral:rRNA from 1 species